AGUGGUAGCAUUCUGCUCCACUAAGCCCAGAUCAGUCUCCAGGAGGCGAGGCCUAGGUAGUGUUGGGUGGAGUGCAUGGCCAGGACGGGGUCAUGAAGAGUGAUGAUGAGGUCAUUCUUCCCCUUCUCCUUUUUUUUCUUCCUUUCACAUUCACUCCACCGUUGCAUUUUCUUUACUCUCUGUUUCUUUUCCCCCCAUAUCCUGAGUGGCUGCCCGAUGACCAUUCCUUCAGAGAUGGCCAGGUGACCUCUUGGUCUUGCAAUACUGCUAUCAAGCUAGGCCUCCUGAAGAGGUUUACCUGAGCCGAUGAGAAAUUCUUAUUCGGGAACUUCCGUGACAUACAACUUAGACACCCAGGGUUCCUGCUGCUGCUCCAUGCUGAUCCCGGUGUUCUCCAGGUGGAUGUGCAGCACCUGGGAAACUCCCGUGUCCCCACUGGAAAUGCUCUGGGACUGAGUCAGGGAG
rnacentral:lncRNA from 1 species